AUUUUAACUCUAUUAGUUCCUGUUGGCAGUUGGUGGAAUGUUCGAGGGAUUUGAAAGUUCUUCUCUGCCCUUGCUGUAAAGUGAGUGAACCACACUCCAACCUUUCCACAGUUACUCCAGCCACUCCGACCACACAGCAGUUACUCAAGCCACUCCACCCAGUUACUCCGCCCACUCCAGUUGCAGACACUUCACACAAUUUCCCCAGAAAUUUUUGCUUUUCUAGUUUACG